AGGCCGCGGGGCUGGGAGAGGUGGCGACUGGGGAGUCUGCGCCGCGGCUGGCGCUGCGGGGCCUUGGCGGCACCAGGUUUCCCUCCUUCGCGGAAGCUUCUGCGCGCAGAGUUGGGGGCCGGCAGCUGGCUGCCUGGAGCGCGCGGGGCCUGGGAGAGCGGUCCCAGAGAGGCGGCACUUUGUGGGGCGUGGGCGACUUCCUCCUACUUAAAAUUGCCGCAGCUUCCUUGCAAACUCCCAGCGGGUUGUGGGACCUGUGGGGGAGGGGCCGGCUCCUUUAACGUGGUUUUAUUUUUUAAUAAACGGACACACACAGGUUUGUUUCCAGCAAGGUUUUUUUUUUCUUUUCUGUUAGAAGCUGCCCCUCCCCCCACCCGGGUACUCGCCCUGGGGCAGCUCUAGGUUUGGACCCGGGAAGCGAGAAGCUGACUCGGAGCUGGGUGGGCCUGGGCCGAGCUUCCCGGCUCUUACAAGUCCUACCACCUACCCCUUCCCCGCCCCCAGCGUGGGUCUCUAGGUGAAGAUUAGAGGAAGGAGGGACAGUGAAAAAGGAAGGUCGAGGCUGGUUCAGAUCCACUUGGAGGAAGUUACCAAGCAGAAAGAGGCAGCCUGGGCCCGAGUUUGCAUGAUUAAUUCGGAUCCUGGGCCUAAGGCCGAAACCGGGCUGAAGUAAAUAGUACCACAGAAUCCAACCACUCCACACCCCGUUGGGCAAGAAGAGGCUGAGGCCCCGGGGAGCAGCGGGGGCAAGAAAUUUUCAGAUCUAAGGAACUGAACUGUCAAUAAGUAAAUAAUUUUUCCACCGUGGGAUCCCAUGGAAGAAAAUACUUUGACAAGCUCUGUGGAAAUGGUGCCGCUCACGGGAGAAACUUUUCCAAACUAGGUGAUGUGUCCAGCACUCUCCUCCCACCUCCCCUCUCCCUUCACAAUACACUCCUGCUGAAGGGCGAGGAUAAAACUGAUUCGUCUACAAGAACAAAUCAUUUUAAUAAUUAACUUUAUUAACAUCUGGGUUCGUUGUAUGACAGAUACCCACACCAGUGAGAGAGGAAAAUUAUCCUUCAAACAAAAGGGAGAUGUUAAUCUGUCCACAGUCUUCAGCUUAAUUUAUUUGGGGUUUUUUGUCUGGUGUCUCCUACAGAUCUCCUGAAAAUUACCCCCCAACUCCUCCCAGACAAGACCAGAGACUGGAAUGUUCAUUAGAUUUUAGUGCCACCUUGUGGCAAUCUUUACAGGUUUUUUUCUUAAAAAAAAAAAGUAAUAUAUACAUAUGAUUAUAAAAAACCUUAUCUAGUCAAAAGACAUGCAUUUUAUGACUAUUUUUAUUUUAAGAUCUUUCAUGAGAUGUAAAACCCUAAAGAAGUUUUACAAGUAGAAUCUUAGAAGUUCUUCAUGUAUAUAUUUAUAUACCCGUAUAACGUUUUUCAUCUACACUUAAAAAAAUAAGUUUCUUCCUAGUUAAAUAGUAACUUCUAAAAGAGGUUAAACGAGAUAAAGGCUAUGGAACCUAGCUAAUUUACAUAAUAAUGGACUUCCUCUUCCCCUUAUUAUAAUGUACAGAAAUGUAAAACAACUUUAACCACAAAAAUCAUCUGUCUUUUUUCCCCAGUUGAAAAAGCCAUUAUUGGGUAUUCUGGUAUAAUUAGAAGUAAUAAUAAUUCAUUUACCAAUAAGCAUUUAUUGGGAACCAACAAUGCUAUAGACAUUCCUGAUAGCCAUUUGAUUUUUAAAUUUUUUCUAAUAUAAGGAGUAGCUUAAAAUCUAUAAGAAAAUUGUCAACCUUCCAUCUCAAUGCAGUGAGUUUUAAAAAGGGAAAGGCUCUUCUAGAACUAGUCACGCUGUUUCACCUGGGAAAGUGGAGGUGGUCCCAUCUGGUCCAUUUGGGGCCCCUUCAGCCGUGAGUUACAUAGCUGAGCCUUCAAGCUGCUCUCUGGGGUCUCCAGCAAUGAGCAACAGCAAGUAAAACAUCCCUCUCCUGCUCUGAGAGUGUGACCCAGUGUGACCCAGGCCUAAGGCAGAGAAGGCUGGGGUCACAGGAGAACCACCAUAGCUAGACUAUUAAACUUCGGAAUGUGGGCAUUGCACUCUGAUCAGACCCCCAUCUCUCCAGCCCAGGGCCAGGCCAGAGGGAGUAGGCAGUGCGCAAUGGGGCAGCUCCUGAUUGCUCUAAAACUGCACUGUCCAAUCCAGUAGCUGCUAACCACAAGUGGCUGUUGAGCACUUUCGGUGGCUGGUGCCACUGAAAAACUAAGUUUUUAAUGUUGUCUGAUUUUAAUUAAUUUAAAUUUAAACUUAAAAACUGAUAUUCAAGAGCCAGCCCUGAUGGCCUAGUGGUUAAAGUUCAGCACACUCCGCUUCGGCAGCCUGAGUUUGGUUCCUGGGCGCAGAACCACACCAUUCAUCUGUCAGUAGCCAUACUGUGGUGGCGGCUCACGUAGAAGAACUAGGACUUGGACUAGAAUAUACAACUAUGUACUGGGGUUUUGGGGAGAAAAAAAAGAGAGAGGAAGAUUGGCAAUAGAUGUUAGCUCAGGGCAAAUCUUUUCCAGCAAAAAUAAAUAAAUAGGUAAAGAUAAAAACUGAUAUUCAGGGUGGGAGGAGGGGGAGAUGUUGGUCAAAGAGUACAAACUUCCAGUUAUAAGAUGAAUAAGUUCUAGGGAGCUAAUGUACAGCAUGGUGAUUGUAGCUAGUAAUACUGUAUCACAUACUUGAAAGUUACUAGGAGAGUAGAUAAUAAAUGUUCUCACCACAAAAAAGAAAUGGUAAUUAUGUGACAUGAUGGAGAUGUUAGCUAAGCUAUGGUGCUAAGCAUUUUGCAGUAUGUAACUAUCAAAUCAACACCUUGUACACCUUAAACUUACACGGUGCUAUAUGUCAAUUAUCUCUCAAUAAAGCUGGAGAAAGAAUUAAAUGAAUACUGAUAAGGACCACAAAAAAAAAAUAAGAGAUAAAAACUUAUAUUCAAUUCAGUUACAGUCAUAUGCCACAUAACAACGUUUCAGUCAACGACAGACCGCAUGUACAACAGUGGUCCCAUAAGAUUAGUACCAUACAGCCUAGGUGUGUGGUAGGCUAUACCAUCUGGUUUCUGUAAGUACACUCUAUGCUGUUCGCACAACAACCAAAUUGCCUGACACAUUUCUCAGAACAUAUCCUCUUCAUUAAGUGACGCAUGGCUGUAUUGGGAAACUUUUAUGUAUGUUUGAAACAACUUGGGUACGUGAAUCUACUUUUUCCUACUGGAGAUUUUAUGAAAUCUAAAUAUAGAUUGAGUAUUUUUGAUGAAAAUUUAGCACCCGAAUUGAGAUGUGCUGUAAUUUUAAAAUGAACACUUGAAUUUGAAGACUUAGAUUGAAAAACAUGUAAAAUAGUUCAUUAAUAAAUUUUAUAUUAAUUACAUAUUGAAAUGAUAAUAUUUCAGAUAU